CACCUUAUUGUGUUUAUUCGGCAUUACAUCCGCGAUAUAUCAAUUAGUCAGAUCAAUGCUUUGUCGUGAUUGAUUUCUGCUGUAACAGCUUCGAAUUCAGCCAUGGGUCUACAUGGGAAAUGAAAGCGGAACUAUCUGCUAUGCAUGUCAUUUGUUCAGGAUUAGAAAACCUCACAAAGGCAAGCCUAAAGUAAAGAUAAAAGGCGAGGAGAGAAACGGACGGGUACAUUCCAUAACAACUUUCUCGCGAAUCCUAUGGACUGAACAACAAAUUUAGAACCGACGUAUUUUGCUACGGAAAUCUUGUUAGCUUUGUUCACGUGUUGUUAAGUUUGAGAUAUUUAAAGCUAUUUUUUGAGGGGCAUUAAAAAGUAUUCUGUUGAUUGAAAUAGAAGAUACAUUUUACAGUUGAGUGAAAGCUUGAUAAAUAAGUGCCGUUGACUUGCAAUAUUAUUGACAUUGAUUUGAAAUGCAACAGUUGAUCGCAUCUGCAGUGAGCUUUGUGCAAUAUUUUCCAUGACACCAUUUUAUUAUGUGACUAAUAUAUAGCCAAUACAAAAAAACCUGUGCACUCUUUCUUGAACUGUAACUGUGUGCUGUAGCUGUUUUACCGGUGUGUCGCUUCAUACAUUGUAUCAAGUUAAAUAUUGUUUGAUAGUCUAUUCGUAUAAAAUAUCUAGUCAUUACUAUGAGCGAUAAGGAUAGCCAAAGUUCCAUGAAUGUUUUCGGUCCAUCAUUAACACUGUCCAGCUCUGACCAUUUAACCGCAACUUUAGAAAAUCUCAGUUUGUCGAGUUCUAUUGAAACUCCCGGAGAUACACCUGAGUUUGUACAUCUUGACCCCUCAUGCCACUGUAUUCAUUGUAAACUGGUUGUUCGGGACGCUUUACAACUCAUAUGUGGACAUCACGUAUGCAAACGUUGUUUGAACCCUUUAUUUGGCGACCAAGAACAUAAACGCUGCCCUGAAUUUGAAGACUGCGGUUACGAUAUCAGCAAAGCCGAAGUUUUUCCAGACACGUAUAAGCGACGGGAAGUUUUAAACCAAAAAGUAUUCUGUACUUUUAAGUCUCGUGGUUGUGACGCUGUGGUGGCUUGGAAAGAUUUAAAGAAUCAUGUUCUCCGAUGUAUGUUUGCCAUUUUCCCGUGUUUGCGAGCUUCCGAAGGAUGUACAGCCAUACUCACCAGGGAUCAAUUCGACUCCCACAUCAACGGGACAUGUGAUUUUUUGCCUGUCACAUGUGAUCACUGUAAAGAGAUAACAUUGAGGGGUAAAUUUAUGGCACACAUAGAGACGGACUGCCCAAAAGUUAUGAUACAUUGUCCCUAUCUUUGUGGAGCACCCGAAUUUCCCAGAGAACAGUUGGAAACUCAUGAAGAACAAUGUCCAAACAAACCAAUUCUGUGUUCAUUUUCCUGUAUUGGAUGCAAAUUUAAGGGUGUAGAGGAGGUGGUAAAACAACACGAGAAAAAUGACAUGGCAUCCCACUUACUACUGCUUUCUACAUACACAUCGAAAAUGGAGGACCAAAAUAAAACAAUCAGCGCAGAAUUAUUGGAUCUCAAACAGGAAAAGGAGAAAUGGCAGCAGCAAGCAAUUGAGCUGGAAGGACAGUGCAACGAUUUGAAAAAGGAAAAUGCAGCAGCCAAAAAAUCAGCAAAUGAACUAAGGCUUAUGAUUGCCUCCCAAGGAGAGCGUGGGAUUAACCUAGAGAGGAAAAUAGAGGACAAAGCGUCAAAGACUGUCGCAGAUAAGCUUGUUCGGGAUGUUACUGCCAUCAGAGAGACUAACCAAUCAUUAGGCGCAAGGAUUACCAACCUGGAGAGGGCCGGACCAAUUGUUGGGGAAGUGAUGGGACCGGCUCAAGUGAACAACAAACUAAGACACUUGGAUAAACAGUACACACUUCACGAUGUCAGACUAGCGGAACUUGAUCUUCGUUUUCAAAUCUUGGAGACAGCAAACUUCGAAGGAGUUCUUAUGUGGAAGAUCCGAGACUAUAAUCGUCGGCGACAAGAAGCUGUAAAUGGCAGGACUUUAUCGCUAUUCAGUCAGCCUUUCUAUACAGGUCGCCAUGGAUACAAAAUGUGCGGACGUGUUUACCUAAAUGGGGACGGCACGGGGAAAGAAACGCAUUUGUCCUUCUUUUUCGUGAUAAUGAAAGGCGACUACGAUGCGUUGUUACCGUGGCCGUUUAAACAGCGAGUGUCUCUGAUGUUGAAGGAUCAGGAUACAAGGACCCAGGAUAUUUGCGAUACCUUUACACCGAACGCCGUCAGUAACAGUUUCAAGCGGCCUGAGACAGAGAUGAACGUCGCGUCUGGUGUUCCCAAGUUCAUUGCUCACAACCGUCUUGAAACACCAACGUAUGUACAGGACGAUACAAUUUACCUAAUGAUAAAAGUAGACACGUCUAACAUCCCAAAUCAUCCGAAUCCGUGAAAUUUCUUGUGUGUUUUUUGUGGCACUUUAAACCUCAAUAUACGCAUCAUCUGGCGUAUUUAUAAUAUAUACCAACGCAUUAUAUCGUCUUGGAUAUUUUCAGAUGUCAUUUCUCUUCGCUUUUUCAGUGAAAGUUGCGUAUAUUGGGGUUUUAAAAUUCCGGGAAAAACUAUCGUGAAGUCGGAUUCACCGAUUCACCACCGAAUGAAUCCUUAAAGAGGAGAUAAACCGUUACUUUAUGUUGUUAUCACCUCCGGUAAUCGGAAUUCGAUUUCCUUUCGAUUCUAACACCAAUGUAUACCAAUUUGAAACAGGUAACUAGAUACAUUAAGCGGUUUUAAUAUUGAUGAUUUGGACGAUGGAUGAAAGAUUUUUUAAAAUGUUAGCUGUGAGAUGCUUCAUACAAUAGAUUACUGAUCGCCUGUUUCAACUAAACUAAGAACUCUUGUCCUGCGACUGACCUCAGACUAAUGUUCCACGAUUGCCCUUUCAUCAUCCUGUCCAUGACAAAUAUUGCCUGAUGUCUCUUAUUAUAAAAUGUAACCCACUCUAUGAGGCAAAAUGGAUGGAUAUCAAUUAGAAACUGCGUUAUAUCAACACGAUGAAUGUCGGUUCCCAUUUUGUCCAUAGUAGUGCCCUUUGGAUUUUGGAGACUGACCAGGAAAACAAGCGGCUAACAGGUGGCCAUCUUGGAUUUUGACCAUGGUAUUUCGUUAACGUGCCUUGGACUCCAACUGAAGAGAGUUGAGUGAAUGUGUUUUCAGCCCACACCGGAAGUGCAAGGUCGUCCUUUUCACCUUGACAGUAAAACAAUGGUGGUAAGGGGGAAAGGUCGGGACGGGCUUCCAACUCCUAAAAAAGAAACCAAAAUACUUCGUGUGGAAUCAUUUGAUAUAUGCAGAGUACAAGUAUUAUGUGUCGGCUUUAACUUAAAUAUGUAUCCAUGCUCUGCAUGGCCCAUUUUAUACCGAUGUUCCCGGUAAUAUACUCUAAUAGUGGUUGCCAAGGAAACAUGUUAUAUAUCAGCAGGAUUAAUUGUCCGCAAUGAGUACCAGACUGAAGUUGUUGUAAUAAUUCAAACGUUGACUUCGAAAUAUUUACCUUGAACACAGCAGACCCGUUGUUUAGAAAAGAGGAAAGCGCGAACACGCCUGCAACGUCACGAUGAAAUCUGUAGCUUAGAUGUAACGCCAUAGCCCCGCCCAUUGAAAAACCACCUGGAAGAUCAAACAGGAUUUUACAAAAAGUCUACCUGUAUGUAUUUACAUACAUACCCUUUUUCUCUUGAAUGAUUUGAUUGGACAAGACGCAGACGCCCGGAUACUUUUGCGAUAUUAUUUAUUU